UACGGAGGGUGCAAGCGUUAUCCGGAUUCACUGGGUUUAAAGGGUGCGUAGGUGGGUAUGUAAGUCAGUGGUGAAAUCCCCGAGCUUAACUUGGGAACUGCCGUUGAUACUAUAUAUCUUGAAUAUCGCGUAGGUAAGCGGAAUAUGUCAUGUAGCGGUGAAAUGCUUAGAUAUGACAUAGAACACCAAUUGCGAAGGCAGCUUACUUCACGAUUAUUGUCACUGAGGCACGAAAGCGUGGGGAGCAAACAGG
rnacentral:rRNA from 1 species